AAACUUCUUUGUGUACAGAAAGGAGAAAAAGAAGGUCGGGGUUGGACCCAGUGGAUCGAAGGAAAUGAACUGCACCUGGAAAUAAGAGCAUGUGGAACCACAUGUAAGCAAGUCUUCAAGAAGGUGCAGUGAACCUGAUCUACAGAUACAGAUUUUUUUAAAAAAGAAGAACAGAAUUGCAACCAAAGCUGGGCAUGAGUAUACCCUUAGCAUCUAGAGAGCAGAUUUAGAUCAGCAUGAAGUUAGAACUGUGUAGUGUUCUCUUUCUGUAAUAUAGAUCAUUCUAUUUCUUUAAAAAAAUCAUUCCAAGUACAUACAAUUAAAAGAACUUAGUCAUACAUGCAUGCACACCUAACUUCUCAGUAACACAAAGAUAAGGUAUGUAACUAGAUUCUUUGGUACAAAAAUAGACCCAUUUCUCAUAUGCAGCAAGACCAUUUUACAUAACUAUAGUCAUAUAGAGGGGCCUUAAGGUAAACUGUUUCACAGCCAAAAUAGUGCUGAGUGGCCUUACUGUAAAAUCCUAGUAGAGAUCAGAUCCAAAGUAUUUUGUGGCUCAAAAAUAAAAAGUGAAAUCCUUGCUCCAUUGAAGUCAAUGAAGUCACCGACUUCAGCAAAGCAGUGUUUCACUUCUAACACUGUUCUAGCAGAUGUGAAAGACUGUGGGUUUGUAAAAGUUAAACAAUGUCAUGGACCAAUAAUCUGGGAAAAUAGUGCUUAAUAAGAUAGCAUGGCCAAAGAGCAAUUCUUUUUAGGGGUUUUAGCCAAUGCUUGGUACAUUGAUUUUGUUUUUGUUUUUUUUAAUUUUGAACAGAAUAGCUAGUGGAUAACACUAUAUGGCUUCUUUCUUUUUCUUUUUAAAAGCAGCUGCUAGGAAUUGUGUAAAAU